rnacentral:lncRNA from 1 species
AAUAGUUAUCAAAGGUACCAGGAUUAUAAUUUAGUACGCCUGACGCGCGUUUCGUCUACAUAAGACUCAUCAGUGACGCUCAUAUCAAAAUAUUUAUAAAGCCAAACAAGUACAAAGUUGAAGAGCAUUGAGGAUCCAAAAUUCCAAAAAGUUGUGCCAAAUACGGCUAAGGUAAUCUAUGCCUGGGAUAAGAAAAUCCUUAGUUUUUCGAGAAAUUCAAAGUUU